AGAGUUAUAGGUUAAGUAGAAUAAACCAUUGGCCUUCAAAGCCGAAAAUGAGUAUUCUGACUCUG
rnacentral:tRNA from 1 species